UCACCUGGAGGACAGUGGAGGAUGAGGAACCUGAUCAGAUAUCAAGAUAUCAAGAGUGAUCAGAUAUCAAGCGUGAUCAGAUAUUAAGCAGGGUGGCAGAGGUGGGGGGUUCCUGCUAAAACUGGAUUUUACAAGGAAGUAUACAGAUGGGCCUAGAAGAAGGUUCAGGAGUCUGACUAAAGCUUAGUCAAAUAAAAAAUCUUUAUCAGCAAUUUCUUUUUGCCAGGUAGUAAAAUACUCUGGUCUCUUUGACAUUAAGUUAAUGAAUCCCUGCAUAUAAACAUCUCUCUGAAAUCAGAGAUAUAUUACUUAAGAUAUUGGAGUAACUCCUACAAUUGUUUUGGAGAGCAAGCAACAGAGACAUCUAUGGUUUAAUGGAUGGGGAACUUACACGUCUGAAGCAAGGUCCUGGAGCGACACCCCAUCCUGUGCUGCCGAGGGCGGGCAUAAUAUGGCGGCAGUCUUGACCCUCCCGGGAGGAAGGGGAGGUUACCAGUUAGAGGCGAAUUGAUGUCAGGUGGGCUCAUUAGUUACCAGAGAAACCAGUAGAGGGACGGCCCCUCACCGCCCCUUUGAUGAGAACAAUCACCAGCUGGGGCCUGGGGCGAGUUCGUAGGAAGGUCGGUCACGUGAGCAGGGUGCAGGUGAAGCAGCCCCAUGUGUUAGUGGACGGCCAGCACGGGUUUACAACUUUCAGGCGCCACAUGCUGGUGGACGGCUCCCACAGCUUUCCGUUCCUCGUCCUGUAUUUCCCGACGUCUCGCGCUCACCGGAGUUUCCUCAGUCUCCUGGCUGGCUCCGCCAAUUGUUAGACUGACAAGGCCUGUGCUUUCCCAGCUUCAAGGCUGAGGAAGGAGCCCGAGUCAGCAACAGAGACAUCAAUGGUUUAAUGCAUGGGGGAGCUUACACGUCUGAAGCAAGGUUCUGGAGUGACACCCCACCACGUAUGGCAGACGGCAGGCAGGACAUGGUAGCAGUCUCUGCUCUUCACUAUGUCUUGGUAGUCUUUUUAGUUUCCUCCAGGCCCUAAUUUAUUUUACGUUAUUCUAGCAGAUGACACAUGAGUUAUGUAAGUGUUAUUUAUUAUUAUCUUAGUGAUAUUAGUAGGAUGUUAGAAAUCUAAGCUCCUACUAGCUAUUAUCAGUGGUAACUUCAUGUUAUGAUUUUAUAUACAGUAAUACACAACUUUCACAAUAGUCAUAUUGUAAUCUGCAAUAACAACUGGAUGCAUAUGUCCGAUACGAGGGGGAAAAUAAACUAUCAAGGGCGGAAUUUGCUGAAGUAGCAGGAA